UACGAAGGGGGCUAGCGUUGCUCGGAAUCAUUGGGCGUAAAGAGCUCGUAGGCGGCUUGUCGCGUCUGCUGUGAAAUCCCGGGGCUCAACUCCGGGCCUGCAGUGGGUACGGGCAAGCUAGAGUGCGGUAGGGGAGAUUGGAAUUCCUGGUGUAGCGGUGGAAUGCGCAGAUAUCAGGAGGAACACCGAUGGCGAAGGCAGAUCUCUGGGCCGCUACUGACGCUGAGGAGCGAAAGCAUGGGGAGCGAACAGG
rnacentral:rRNA from 1 species